CAAGGGCUCAGGGUCAGGCAGGGGAGGUGAGAUAAAAACCCACAGCCAUACACUAGCUGGCCUGUCCUGAGGGUUGUGAGGCACAAAAUGCUAGGAGACUAGAGAAGUAAGAAAUGUCUUGACAUGAGGAGAAAUCAAGGAAAGCAUGGUUUUAGAACAUGUGUGGGAUGUUUUUUGUAUCGAGACUGAAGAGGCUUUUUAAAGUGGAGGGAAGGCAAACUGAGGCAUAGAGAUGCCAAUACCAGGUCUUGUCAGGAAGAACAGAGUCCAAUUUGGCUGCAGGAUAGGGCAUAUGUAGGGGAGGGGAUAAGACUGGCAUGGGGGCAGAGGGGGACUUGAAUGUCAGGUGACAGAGUCAAAGCUUGCACUCAAGUAGGUGAUUGAUAGGUGAUACUAACUCCCCUGAACCUGUCUCAUCUACAAAAUGGGCAUAGUAGCACCUAUGUCAUAGGGUUGCUUUAUGGCAGGUAAUUAUUCUUGUAAAGCAUUUAGCACAGCUCUGAUGACACAUGGGGAAUGCUCAGUAAAUAUUAAUGUCACUAAUUCCAGUCAAUUCCAUUAACUGGAAUUAAUUAGUUGGAGUUAGGAAGGAAACAGGUGUCAGCUGGGUCGACUGAAGGAAGCAGAGAUCUCAG
rnacentral:lncRNA from 10 species